rnacentral:rRNA from 1 species
AGUGAACGCUGGCGGUAGGCCUAACACAUGCCAGUCGAACGGCAGCACAGUAAGAGCUUGCUCUUACGGGUGGCGAGUGGCGGACGGGUGAGGAAUACAUCGGAAUCUACUUUUUCGUGGGGGAUAACGUAGGGAAACUUACGCUAAUACCGCAUACGACCUACGGGUGAAAGCAGGGGAUCUUCGGACCUUGCGCGAUUGAAUGAGCCGAUGUCGGAUUAUCUAGUUGGCGGGGUAAAGGCCCACCAAGGCGACGAUCCGUAGCUGGUCUGAGAGGAUGAUCAGCCACACUGGAACUGAGACACGGUCCAGACUCCUACGGGAGGCAGCAGUGUGGAAUAUUGGACAAUGGGCGCAAGCCUGAUCCAGCCAUACCGCGUGGGUGAAGAAGGCCUUCGGGUUGUAAAGCCCUUUUGUUGGGAAAGAAAAGCAGCAGGUUAAUACCCCGCUGUUCUGACGGUACCCAAAGAAUAAGCACCGGCUAACUUCGUG